rnacentral:rRNA from 1 species
UACGUAGGGUGCAAGCGUUAAUCGGAAUUACUGGGCGUAAAGCGUGCGCAGGCGGUCCGUUAAGACAGAUGUGAAAUCCCCGGGCUUAACCUGGGAACUGCAUUUGUGACUGGCGGACUCGAGUAUGGCAGAGGGGGGUAGAAUUCCACGUGUAGCAGUGAAAUGCGUAGAGAUGUGGAGGAAUACCGAUGGCGAAGGCAGCCCCCUGGGCCAAUAC